rnacentral:lncRNA from 1 species
GGGGCUGGCUGACUUUGUCCACACACAACUACAGGCCUGGGGGCAGCAUGAGGACAUCCUUUCACAGAGGCAGCAAAUGAAGAAGAGAAAAAGGAAGCCACCUCAGCACGUUCUAUCUUCUGCUUUGAUCAAGACCAUGCAAAGAGAUAUACGGGAAUUGCUAAGUUAGGGCCUGAACCAAUGAUUGAGCACCUGGUGAACAGACACAGCCAGCCCUGGGAGCACAGGUGAAUUGCUUUAGACCAUCAGCCUCAUGAGAAGCCUCAUUUAAGAGCUGGCUACCACAGAGGAAGAAUAUUUACCUGGAGAUCUCUCCUUUUGGAGUAUCAGAGGAGCCCUGAUCCUUGGGA